rnacentral:rRNA from 1 species
UAAUACCCGCGUCUCGAGUGGUAUUCAUUUUUAUUAGGUUUAAAGCGUCCGUAGCCGGUUUAAUAAGUUCCUGGUGAAAUUUCAUAGUAAACUAUGGAGCUUGCUAGGAAUACUGUUGAACUUGGGACCGGGAAAGGGUAGAGGUACUCCUGAGGAAGGGGUAAAAUCCUAUAAUCUUAGGAUGACCACCUGUGGCGAAGGCGUCUACCUGGAACGGAUCCGACGGUGAUGGACGAAACCUAGGGGAGCGAUUGGGAUUAGAUACCCCAGUAGUCCUAGGCGUAAACGAUGCCCGUUUGGUAUUGCAUGCCUUUUGUGGGUUUGCAGUGUCGUAGUGUAAAUGUUAAACGGGCCACCUGAGAAGUACGGUCGCAAGGCUA